UAUUAAUUAUGGACAGGAAGCGCACUCUCAUGGCCCAGGCGGGGAUAUAUGCUUGUAUUCUUGCACAUAUGAGCUAUAGGGUAGCCAUAUAUGCCCGGAAUUUUAUCAACCCACACAGUUACCGCCUGAUCGCAUCGCCAUUUUACGUGCAGCCGCGCCCUAUGGACCUGUGGAACAACUUCAUGGUUGAUUACUGGCCUGAUAACAAGUUUGAGGAUAACUUCCGGCUGACACGCUCGUCUUUUAAGCUCCUUCUGAGCAUAUUAUUUACGUAAUAUUUGACGAGCCCCAAGGUAUUAAAGAAAUAUAUGCUUUUGCGGGGGCGGAUGGACGACUGCCCCAACAGUUGGAGCAAUUUUUAAGCGAAUAGCUGUCUUACACAGAAUGAAUAAGGGAGCCGCCUUGCUGGCACGGCAUCCAACUUCAGGGACGAGUCCCUUACGCCCGAGCGCAAAGUUGCCAUUGCGCUGUGCAAACUCGCAAACCAAGUGAGUUUCCCUACCAUCGAACAUAUGUCUGCAGGAGUGUUUGCAGGAACUGCUUGUAAGGUGCUUCACCAGUUCUGGAGAAGUUUCCUAGGGCAACUACCUUCGCCUCUAUUCAAUCUGAAUUUACUGCGCUGGGUAUGGUGGGAUAUGUUGGAAGUAUCGAUGGAACCCAGACACUGGUUCAACAACCCUCCACCCCAUCUUCACUCUUACAUCAUCUCCUCCAGCCAUGCACCUUCUUCAGUCAUGCGCCUCUCACCCAAAAUGAGCCCCAUCACCCUGCCUGCAGUCUCAAACCCCCCUAAGCCCUGUACCGGUGCAACACUUCAAUCCCGUCAGUCCUCCUUAGCAGCACUUAGCACCACCGGCAUUGCGCACCCGUCAUUGCCCACCCGCCACUGUUUGGCCUGGAACCUCCUUGUCAUGCAAAACACCCGCCCCCUCAGCCACCGGCACCAUGACUGGCUCAGGCUGCAGCAAAGCUGUUGCAAUCUUGCGGAGCUGCUGCUGAGCCUCCACCUCCGAGAUAGCACCUGUCUCCUUCAGCAACUUUAUUAUCUCGAUUUCCUGCUUGUAGGUCGCCACCUGCUGGUCGCGAGCCUUGGCAGCUGCAAGCGAGGCUUCCUGCUGGUUUUCUUGCCCAAAAACGCUGGCAAUGCGUGACAGGGAUUCAGACAUGGACCGCAUCCCUGAUGCCAAGUCAGAAAGGCUCAUGCCCAUGUUCUGCAAGGCCCUGUCCUUUUUAGAUGACAUGUCCUGCAGCGCCGUGACAAACUCCAUGCCUGUCCCACCCGCCUUCCCCAUUGACUGGCGAAGCCGCCCAGUGGUCAGGUCACCUGCAGGAAAAGCACCCACCCCCUCAAACCUUAAGCUAGGGUUACAGAUAAGACAGGGG
rnacentral:lncRNA from 1 species